UGGUACCUGAAAAGAAGCUGCCCAUGUUAUUUUCGCUUUAUAUGUGACGAAACAAACAUGGUGCACUUCUUUUUCGGUAUCA
ensembl:miRNA